rnacentral:rRNA from 1 species
CCAGAGAACUUAGCAGAGAUGCUUUGGUGCCUUCGGGAACUCUGAGACAGGUGCUGCAUGGCUGUCGUCAGCUCGUGUUGUGAAAUGUUGGGUUAAGUCCCGCAACGAGCGCAACCCUUAUCCUUUGUUGCCAGCGGCUCGGCCGGGAACUCAAAGGAGACUGCCGGUGAUAAACCGGAGGAAGGUGGGGAUGACGUCAAGUCAUCAUGGCCCUUACGGCCAGGGCUACACACGUGCUACAAUGGCGCAUACAAAGAGAAGCGACCUCGCGAGAGCAAGCGGACCUCAUAAAGUGCGUCGUAGUCCGGAUUGGAGUCUGCAACUCGACUCCAUGAAGUCGGAAUCGCUAGUAAUCGUAGAUCAGAAUGCUACGGUGAAUACGUUCCCGGGCCUUGUACACACCGCCCGUCACACCAUGGGAGUGGGUUGCAAAAGAAGUAGGUAGCUUAACCUUCGGGAGGGCGCUCACCACUUUGUGAUUCAUGACUGGGGUGAAGUCGUAACAAGGUAAGCGUACUACA